UGAGGAAUAUUGGUCAAUGGGCGAGAGCCUGAACCAGCCAAGUAGCGUGCAGGAUGACGGCCCUAUGGGUUGUAAACUGCUUUUAUGCGGGGAUAAAGUGUGCGACGUGUCGUGCAUUGCAGGUACCGCAUGAAUAAGGACCGGCUAAUUCCGUGCCAGCAGCCGCGGUAAUACGGAAGGUCCGGGCGUUAUCCGGAUUUAUUGGGUUUAAAGGGAGCGCAGGCCGCCAGAUAAGCGUGUUGUGAAAUGUACCGGCUCAACCGGUGAAUUGCAGCGCUAACUGUUUGGCUUGAGUGCACGGUAAGCAGACGGAAUUCAUGGUGUAGCGGUGAAAUGCUUAGAUAUCAUGAGGAACUCCGAUUGCGAAGGCAACUUGCUGCAGUGCGACUGACGCUGAUGCUCGAAGGUGCGAGUAUCAAACAGG
rnacentral:rRNA from 1 species